GGAGCUUGAGGGAGAGGAACUAAACGGGAGCAUGGUUUUGCAGGAGGUGAAUGUGGCUGGAACUCCUCCGACGCAGGAGACUGAGCUGUGCUGCUGUCAGGUUCCUGUGGUUGGCAACGUGCAGGAUCAGCCCGGGCCGGAGGUGACUUACUGCCACGGCUCACCGUGCUCUGGGCAGGCUGCUCCAGGGUACUGGGGAGUUAACCUUCAGGAGACUGAGCUGGUGUCCCUGGAGAGCCUGACUGCACCCCACACUUGGCCUGUCCCUUUCUGGGUGCCUCUGGAUGGUAUUUUGCAGAGGUGGUGCUGAAGGACUGUCCAGUCUGGGAAGCAGGCAGGCUGAGAGGAUCACUCGAGGCUGUGAAGGAGGCAGCAGCAGGCUGGUGUAGAAGUUCUCUCCUCCAUGAGUUCAGAUCCUGCAUGGACAAGACAGUCUUCUCCCUCAUGCAUGGCUCCUGUUGUCUCUAGCUCCUGCUUUUCUUCAGCCUGCUGCAAGGUCUUGAAGAGAGAUGAUUCUUCCUCUUUACUCUGCCCUGCUGAGACCCCACCUCGAGUUCUGCAUCCAGUUCUGCUGUCCCCAGCGGAUCCAGCCUUUCCUCCAGGAAUGUUUGAUAAGGCAGCCUGCACUGCUGAGAUCACCCUUCUGGCAAGGGCCUGCUGUGGUGUGAGCCCCAGGCAUCUGCUUACUGCAGUCUCCAAGGCAACCCUCCAUGCUCUUCUCCUCUGGAAGCUCUGCCUAGCCGUAAGGAAGCUGUCAUCCUCCUUACUUUACCCUCCCUGCAUGCUCUCUGAGCUCGUUGCUGUCUGUAACCAGCUGUGCUUGCACAAGGUCUGGGCUGCCUUGAGGAUUGCUGGAGAUCUCAGCUAAGCCAUCUGCUGCAGGAAGGAUGUGUUCCAGAGGGAUCCCAAGGUGGAUCUAUCCUGCUCCUGUACCACACUAAUGCUCCUGCUGAAUGGUGGAGGAGCUGCUGUGCAUGGGCCCCAGCUCUGGUCAGCAUGGAUGGAGCCAGCUCUGAGACCUGAGCACAGAUCCUCCUGCAAGCCCUCCCAGCCCAGCCUCUGGUGCACCCUGCAUGAUUCAUCAGCUUUCACCAUCUCAGAGGACCUGUUUGCCUGCCCAUGGAGGGAACAGCACAUGGGGGCACAGAAAGUGGAACAAGCUCCUGCCAGUCUGAUACCAGCAUGAGGGAGUGAGUGUGCUGGGCUGUGGAGUGACUCCUGUGGGUUUCUAGCAGGGCAAGGUGCUUCUGGAGCUGCUUAGUGUGAUGCUUGGUUUUGCUUGGGCUCUGAUAAUGCUGGAGUCUGGAUGGUCACUGAGGCUGGAGCUGGCACGCAGGGGUUCAGGACUGAAGCGUUGGACUGGGAGAGGCUCAGCUCCUUGUUUCACAUCAGGUAGGUGCUGCAGCUGUCCCAGCUCCUGAAGAACCACAGAAGCAAGAGAGUAGUAGAAAAUAUCUCACUUUAUUGAGCAUCUCCACGGAGUUUUACAAAACAAUAUUUACAGGCAAGGAGGGAACUAACUCAGCUCGUCUGGAGUGUGCUCUUCCAGGGCAAGGGCCAGAGGGAGGAAAUCAGAUCAGCACAUUCACAACUCCUGUUGCUGCCUUUGUCUUUACAAAAUGUAAGGAGGAUCUAAGAGGUGCCU